rnacentral:rRNA from 1 species
GACGAACGCUGGCGGCGUGCUUAACACAUGCAAGUCGAACGAUGAUGCCAGCUUGCUGGUGGAUUAGUGGCGAACGGGUGAGUAACACGUGGGUGAUCUGCCCCGAACUUUGGGAUAAGCCUGGGAAACUGGGUCUAAUACAGGAUAGUACCUUCCCUUGCAUGGGGGUUGGUGGAAAGCUCCGGCGGUUUGGGAUGGGCCCGCGGCCUAUCAGCUUGUUGGUGGGGUAAUGGCCUACCAAGGCGACGACGGGUAGCCGGCCUGAGAGGGCGACCGGCCACACUGGGGCUGAGACACGGCCCAGACUCCUACGGGAGGCAGCAGUGGGGAAUAUUGCACAAUGGGCGCAAGCCUGAUGCAGCGACGCCGCGUGAGGGAUGACGGCCUUCGGGUUGUAAACCUCUUUCACCAGGGACGAAGCGUGAGUGACGGUACCUGGAGAAGAAGCAC